UGAGCCUUUUUAAGCCAGUUUCAGUGAAUUCGAAUUUUUCUGAAAGUUUCUUAAAUGAAAGAUCUUCAAAAUCUGGAGUAUAAAUUUUUGAAGAGUUGGGAACACCCUGCACUGUAAACAUAUUUACCUGUUCAAAAAAAACUUUUUCAUUCAAAAGUAACUCAUCUGAAAUGACUGAAUCUUUCACUCAUUUUCAUUAAAAUCACACAAAAUUCAUUUUCAUUCUCUAUCAUAAUCAGUCACAUGAAUGAAAGUGAACAGGUAUGAUUCGUCGUCCAGAAUUUAAAAUAAAAUAAAUUCCCAGAGCCGAAAAAUGAUAUGCUGAUUCUGACAAUGAAUCAUCGAUUUCACCGUUAACAUAGUUCAUCCGGAAAUGAAAUAUUCAGUCGCACGUGCACGUGAAUAAAGUUAAAACUUUAAGUUACUUGAACUAUCUGAGUCGUUAAUCUUCACGACCUUGUCGGCAAUACAUAAUGGAAGACGUAAAAAAUUGGCUACUUCGCCUCCCGUAUUUAACGAGGCACUGGUUUAUCGCAGCUAUCGUGUUACCCUUACUGGUGAGAUUCGGCGUAGUUGGGGGCGAUCGAGUUAUUUUAUCGUUGGACCGCAUUGUUUAUGGAUUCCAGUUAUGGAGACCGGUGACAGCUGCAAUCUAUUUUCCGGUAGGUUUCCUCUGGCUGAUGAAGCUCUAUCUGUUGGUUUCUUACUCCAGAAAAUUGGAAGAAGAACACUAUGCCACGAAACAAGGAACAUACGCGUUUCUCUUGGUGGUAAAUUGGUUCGUAUGUUUCAAUCUUGGACUUGCACUUGAUUAUCCAAUUCUGCUGGGCCCAAUGAUCAAUUCCGUGGUUUACAUUUGGUGUCAAUUAAACCCAAAUGUGAUUAUCCGGUUUUGGUUUGGGACCGAGUUCAAGGCUAAAAUUUUUCCCCUUGUCCUCGCCAUUAUGGAUCUUAUCCUUUACAACGAUUGGAUAGCCCAAGCCAUUGGAAUUCUUGCUGGUCACGCGUACUAUUUCUCCACCACGGAAUGGGCCCGGCUUCAUGGGAGACCACUGUUUGAAACGCCACGGUUUUUCCAAUCCCUUUUCCGCAAUCCAAGGAUGGCCCAAAUGUCUGAAGGGAUUUAUGUCGAAGACUAUCGAGACACUGGACCCACAAGGCUGACCCCGUCUACGUACAGCUUUCCUGGUACGGGGCGUGUUCUCAGUGAUACUGCUCAGUUCAGUAUUUUGCUGGGAGUGAGACCAUUUUCGAUUUCUUUAGCCAAAUUUGCCGAUUUAGAGGUGCAAGUUGAGAACGGAGUUAAGACUCUCACCAUUAACAGACCAGCUAAGAAGAACGCCAUAAGUACACAGAUGUUCCAAGAAAUGACGAAAUCUCUUUACGAUAGUAAUGACGAUAAGACCACAAAAAUUAUCGUGAUCCGUGGAACAGGCAACUUUUUCACUGCUGGAAAUGACCUUUCCUCUCUUUUCGAAGAUUGUCAGAAAAAAACGACCGUGAAUGAAUUGGAAGUCUCAAUAUUCACUAAAAGCCUAAUCGAUUGCCGAAAACCUAUUGUUGCUCUCGUUAAUGGUCACGCAGUCGGAAUUGGCGUCACAAUGUUGCCUCAUACGGACACGGUGUUCGCGUCAGAUAAGGCCACUUUUACCACACCCUUUAUAAAAUUUGGAAUUCCUCCUACUGAAUGUUGCGCAGGCUACCUUCUACCAAAAGUUAUGGGUCAAGCGAAGUAUAAACCAGGCCGGCGAAAUGCUCCACUUCAACGCAACUCUAACUGCGGCAGAGGCUUACACGAGUAAUUUGAUUACGAGAGUUUUUCCUGACGCCGAGUUUGAUAAGAAGGCGUGGGAGAAAAUUUACCAAAUGGCCGAACAUCCAUUAACUUCACUGGUUUCUUCGAAAGAAUUCCUUCGAGGAAGGGAGCGACAAGUUUUGCAUAAAAUUCAUGACGACGAAGGAGCAAUUGUAAAUAUUAACAUUUUGGCGAAAGCAGUAAUGAAAUUGAUGUCCCAGCAGAAGUGAAUUG